rnacentral:rRNA from 1 species
UGGGGAAUAUUGCACAAUGGGCGCAAGCCUGAUGCAGCAACGCCGCGUGAACGAUGAAGGUCUUCGGAUCGUAAAGUUCUGUUGCAGGGGAAGAUAAUGACGGUACCCUGUGAGGAAGCCCCGGCUAACUACGUGCCAGCAGCCGCGGUAAUACGUAGGGGGCUAGCGUUAUCCGGAUUUACUGGGCGUAAAGGGUGCGUAGGUGGUCUUUCAAGUCGGUGGUUAAAGGCUACGGCUCAACCGUAGUUAGCCUCCGAAACUGGAAGACUUGAGUGCAGGAGAGGAAAGUGGAAUUCCCAGUGGAGCGGUGAAAUGCGUAGAUAUUGGGAGGAACACCAGUAGCGAAGGCGGCUUUCUGGACUGCAACUGACACUGAGGCACGAAAGCGUGGGUAGCAAACAGG